rnacentral:rRNA from 1 species
UACGUAGGGGCCAAGCGUUGUCCGGAUUUAUUGGGUUUAAAGGGUGCGUAGGCGGUCUUUUAAGUCAGUUGUGAAAGCCUCCAGCUUAACUGGAGAACUGCCAUUGAUACUGGAAGACUUGAGUACAGACGAGGUAGGCGGAAUUGACAGUGUAGCGAUGAAAUGCAUAGAUAUUGUCAAGAACACCGAUUGCGAAGGCAGCUUACUAGACUGUAACUGACGCUGAGGCACGAAAGUGUGGGGAUCAAACGGG